rnacentral:rRNA from 1 species
CCUACGGGAGGCAGCAGUGAGGAAUAUUGGUCAAUGGACGCAAGUCUGAACCAGCCAUGCCGCGUGCAGGAAGACGGCUCUAUGAGUUGUAAACUGCUUUUGUACGAGGGUAAACGCAGAUACGCGUAUCUGUCUGAAAGUAUCGUACGAAUAAGGAUCGGCUAACUCCGUGCCAGCAGCCGCGGUAAUACGGAGGAUUCAAGCGUUAUCCGGAUUUAUUGGGUUUAAAGGGUGCGUAGGCGGUCGGAUAAGUUAGAGGUGAAAUCCCGAGGCGCAACUUCGGAAUUGCCUCUGAUACUGUUCGGCGAGAGAGUAGUUGCGGUAGGCGGAAUGUAUGGUGUAGCGGUGAAAUGCUUAGAGAUCAUACAGAACACCGAUUGCGAAGGCAGCUUACCAAGCUACUUCUGACGUUGAGGCACGAAAGCGUGGGGAGCAAACAGGAUUAGAUACCCUAGUAGUC